GAGGAGCAGGAGCUGUGGGGAGGCACUGCUCUGAGCCCAGGCAAUCCUCACCCCUCAGGGAGGGAAAGGGGAGGCCUGGGGCUGUCUCUGUGCACAGCCUCUCCCCUUUGCCUCUCACAGCUCUUCCCAAAGCCUCUCCAGGGGCUGCUCUCCUGUCCUCAGGCCGUAAUUCUGAGUGGUGAAUUAUCCUGCACAGAGGUUUGCUGCUGUUUCAGCCUCUGUCAGCAGAAGGAACCUUAACUGCCUCUUGCAUUUAUUCGCAAGGAAAAAUGGCUGAAGUGGUUUGGAGCCCUUUCAGCUAGGUUUAACCAGUUUCACAAUGUUUCCCUCAAAAACCUGAUGUGGUCAUCUCUGAGGAGCUUAAGGAGUGGUUUGGAGCCUUUUCAUUCCCUCCAGCCCUCUCAGCUCCCAGCCCUGCUGGGCCAAUUCCCCACAUCCCAAAGAGGGGUGAUGGAGCCACAGCUUCACUGGUGCAGGACAAAGUGGAGGAACUGGGAACUGGAGCUGAAAAAGGUGGAAAAGAGAGAUUUGAGCAUCAGCAGGAGCUGUACAAGGCAGCAAAGCUCACUGUGGAACAUGACACAAAAAUGGUGAAAAUACAAAAAUUCUAUUUCUUAAUGCUGUUAAUGAAUCACAUAGGAAGGCUGUCUAUGAAUUAAAGAAGCACCAGUUAUGGCAUUGUGGAUGUGAAGACCUAGAAUUCAUUUCUUCUGAGUCUUCAGGGAAAUAGCUUGAUUGGUGUAGGAGAAGGGAAUAUGAGUGACCUUGCCCCUGUGAUAAGUAACAGCUGUGUUAAUUACUCAAUACAGCCUUACCCUCAUGAAUCUCAUCUGUAUCCAACAGAGAGGCAGCAGGAGGAAGGUCCAAAGCAGCAGAAAAGUGACCAUUGAGGCAAAUUAGAACCAGAGUGAGUCGUUCAGCUGAAGAUACUUGGAAUUCCAACCAUGUGAUGGAGCUGUUUGUGUUAAAACUGUCUUGUCCAAUGUAAAUUGUGGUGGAAUUCCAGAAGUACCUGCAUUUCCUAGGAUAUCACUGAAAUGGGAUGUUGCUGCCUGCCCACUGAAGCCUCAGUUCUGAACAAAUACCCACGAAAGCUGUGGGUGGAAAGAGGGUGGAUGCCCUCUGUUAAUGGGACACCUCAUAACACCAGAUAAGGCAGUGCCUCCUUAUCUCUUCCUCCACCCAUCCUCCUCCGAGGGACAUCACCUGUGAAUGGGCCAUUUAAGGCCUCUCACAUGACUGAUAACAUCACCUCAUCCCAUUGGGAGAUGCUCCACCCAGCGGGAGGAGCCAAAGCCUUUCCACCAGGAUAAAACCUGCAAUCCCAAACACCAAGGGAGCCUGUUUUCUACUGAAUUCUCAGAGGAAGACCGGACCUAUCUUGCCAGCGCUGGACCCUUUUUUCUACAAGAUCAUCUGUACUUCACAGAACCCCAUCUGUUACUCUGGGAGGACUUAUUUGGACUGGUUCCAACACCCUGACAACAGAGUGUCAGGUCAUAUCUCUGACUCCGUCAAGAUUUUCUAGGACUCUUGUUUGUUUGUUUGUUUGUUUUUUUGUACUACUGCAUUUGUAUUUUUAGUUAUUCCUAUUCCCAUAUUUUUGCCUGAAAGCUCCUAAUUGCAAAAUUGUAAUAAUUUGGAGGGAGGGGGUUUUUACAUUCUCUAUUAUAAGGGAAACUCCAGUUUCCCCUGACAGAUACCUGUCUUUCCAAACCAAGACACAAGAAUAGGGUGGAUUCAAACCUGAACAGGGGACCUCAGCCAUUCCCAUUCAGCCCUGAAUGCAGACAUGUCGCUGGUCAGGGAGCUGGGUGGUGCAGAAAUCCCAAUCAGUUGUCCAAGCCUGGGAAGUUUGAAAUUUGAACCCCAUAAAAAGCCUUUGCUCUUUGUCCCAUGCUCAUGGGUGACUUGAGUCGUGAAUCUGUCUCAACCUGAGACCACACGGAACAAUUAUGGAAACAGACUGGGCUAUAUUAGCAUGUCUGAGGGGACCCUUGAUCCCAAACAGCAUUAUUGGAAGACUAGUACAGAGAAUAAUGAGGGAAUAACACUCUGCCUUAGGGGAUGUCCAACGCACUUCAAAAUGGAAAGUGAGACUGACAUACUUUGGGUUUUAUUGAUUUUAUCGAGAAACAAACAGAAAAGCUGCUUCGCUUUUCAUCAGUAAGGUUUUCUUGUUCUUGUCACAAGCAAAUAGCUUCUUUCAUCACUGCCAACAACAAGAAUGUCUCUUGGAGGGGCAGGGAACAGAGAGGGGAAAGGGCAAUCUUUCUUGUUCUGAAAGGGCUUUCACUCCUUCCAAAGAUGGAGAUGAACUUUGGUCGAAAUUCUCCUUUGAAAACUAAAGAAAUUUACUGAGGAAUAAUUGAUCCUUGAAAAAACACAGAUUCUCUUCAGGUUUUGUUUUUAGUUAUCAUUUUUGUUCAAAAUUCCUGAAAUAGUAUGGAAUGGCUUGCUGCUUGUGAAUUUUAUUUACUCUUUUUUGAUGCUAAGAACUGAUAAUUACUUUGAUAAAUAAAGUUCCCAGUUACUUCUUAUUCUGGGAUAGUGUUGGAAUAAAUGGGAUGUUUUAAAAGAUCUUGAAUUAUAUUGUAUAAUAAAAAUGAUGAAUAUGUGCAUCAAAA